rnacentral:lncRNA from 1 species
CGCGAGCUCCUCUCCGGGAGCUUCCUUCCCCGAAAGGCCGGGACCCAGUGGCGGACUCGUGGUGAGCGAGGCAGCACCUUCGAUCCCAGGAGAUUGACCUGUUCUUAAAAGUGAAAGAAGAAAUCUAAAAACGCUAUGGCAAAGAGAAUAAAAGCUAAGCCCACUUCAGACAAACCCGGAAGUCCAUAUCGCUCUGUCACGCACUUCGACUCACUAGCUGUCAUAGACAUCCCUGGAGCAGAUACUCUGGAUAAAUUAUUUGACCAUGCUGUAGCCAAGUUUGGGAAGAAGGACAGCCUGGGGACCCGGGAGAUCCUGAGCGAAGAAAAUGAAAUGCAGCCAAAUGGAAAGGUUUUUAAGAAGUUAAUUCUUGGGAAUUAUAAAUGGAUAAACUAUCUUGAAGUGAACUGCCGAGUGAAUAACUUUGGAAGUGGCCUCACUGCACUGGGACUGAAACCAAAGAACACCAUUGCCAUUUUCUGUGAGACCAGGGCGGAGUGGAUGAUUGCAGCGCAGACCUGCUUUAAGUACAACUUUCCGCUUGUGACUUUAUAUGCUACCCUUGGCAAAGAAGCUGUCGUUCAUGGAUUAAAUGAGUCUGAGGCUUCCUAUCUGAUUACUA